AGCAUGUAAUACCUGAACAGAAAGAACAGAAGCAAGUGAUCCAGCUUGAAGUGACAUUUCCUAGUUAUCUAGAAAGUGGUGCAGGUUGAUCUCACUACCACCUUUACACCUCUCAUUCCAGAUCACUUGGUCCAGAUUAAAGAGGAUGAUGGUGAGGGAGCAUUCCCAGGACUCCACUCCCACCAGGCACAGUGGAUGCUGAAGGUCCAACAUCUGCAUGAUGGAAAGGCAAGCCCCAACUGACAUUGCUUCCAAAAGUGAACGUGAAAAACAGCAGCGUGAGAGCCAACACUGGGUGCAUUGAAAGCACAACAUUGGGAGGAACUGAGGACCUCCUAUUUCCACUGAGUCCUUUUCCUUCCUCCAGCAAAACCUGGGGCUCGUCUCUGUCCCUGCACACCUGGACUCUUCUGUGAGCCCCUUCAGUAAGGGCUUUCAUGCAGCCUUCUAGAUGGAGCCCCAUGUCAUUCUGUGAUUUUGUAACAUGGAAUCCAUGAAGUGUGACCUUGUUUGAAGAAGUCUCAGUUGUGAAAGCGCCUCAUUGAGACACCAGCACCGCUCAGCACACCUGAUUGUAGCAGAACAGUGAAUGCUCAGAUCUGCACGUGGCCGACUGUAACUGAGGAGUUAGGAAUAACAGGGCAGGGAAACGCAGCGCAUACAAAGGUAGGAGGAAAUAGUCUUGCAAAGCAGACACACUUAACUAACUCCUGGUGAAGACAAAUAUUUUUCUGUACACAACAUUGUAGUUGUAAAAGAACCAAAACCUAUUGGAAUAGGCUAGCUUAUGUUGAGAUUUUGCAGCUGCUGUGAUUUAAGCAUUUCUUUUUAAUGAUUGUUUUUUUUCUAGCCUCCUGGAUCCUAGUAUGCAACUUUGGGUAUUUGUAGUGCAGGCAGCACUUUAGAAGGAGCAGAGGAAAUUUGACCUUGGCUUGAAAACUUGCUUUUUAGGAAUGAGGCAAUUAACUGCAGUAAUUAAGCUCCCUACAUUGGAGGAGUCUUCAACAGUAAUAUUUCCCUUAUGAAAACAGAUCCAAAGAAGACCCAAUUAGAUCAGUCCAUGUAAGUUAAAUCAUUGAAAUUAAAGAAAAUUUGAAACGAGCCAGAGGACAGCACAGAAAUUUGCUCUUCUAGGAGCAAAAUAGGAGGUGGUCGAAGAUCACAGGAACCAAGGAUCACAAACAUGGGGAUGAGCAGACCUAGGGAGGUCAGGUAGCCCAUCGCUGACCGAUUGACCUCCUGAAAACAAAGCAGUUUGUUUAUCACAGGAAAAGCCAUAGUUUUGUCAGGGUAAACAUUAUAAAACUUGAGGCUUGUGAUUUAGUGUCUGAUCUUACAGCUGAGUGAUUUAUAUUUCACCCAUGUGCUCGUUAGGAAUACCAGCUCAGCUGCCUUCUGCAGGGUCAGGGCCUGCAGUAAUUGAGUAUUAAAUGCAUCAAAUACACAUUCAUAACUUGGUGUAUAGGAGGGCAUGGCUGCAGCCCUGAAGCCGGCAGGACCUAAAGCUAAAGGAAACAACUAAAGAAAACUCCAGGAAACCACUAAAUGAACCCUUUGUGUCCCAGAAAAUAAGCUGGUAAUUUAAGGCACACUUAAAGCUUUAAAACAGUUUCGCAGCCUCAGUUUUGGGAACGUGCUGAGUAUGGCUAUGCACAGUGCCCCCUCUUGAAAUCAUCCCCUUUCUCAGAUGUCUCAGCUUUGAUUUGAAGAAUAGUAUUUCCUCAUUUAGCCCUUUUUCCUAGUUGCUGUGCUAAAAUUGUGAGUACUUGGUUCAGUUUUGUUACUAGAGAUGUGAGCAGUGUUUGUCAGGCUCUGUGGCUUAGCCUAAGGCAACAGUGUCAACAGCAAAUUGUCACUUUGCAGCCAAUAUUGAGUGCUAACUCCGAGAAACUGCAGGAGUGCCAGGGCAGAUUAUUAAUUGUGAGUAUACAAAACAAAUCUUGAAGGAAGAGCGUAUCGUAGUUUAACAAUGCCUGGUUGCUAAAUCUGUAUUUGCUGAUUGCACACACAAAUGAAGAAAGCAUUGCAACAGCACCAACGUUUUCAACAAACCAUCUGUGUCAGCAGGCCUGUUUGCUGCUGGAUCCAGUCUCUGCCCUCCCACCACGUUGCUGCAUGCACCAAGGUCCAGGCAGCGUUGUGGAGGCUGAAACAUGCUGCAGGCUUCGGCACGAGGAGCCAGGUGGUGAUGCUUGGGCUCGGUGGUCCCCAAGAUCUUUUCCAACCUUAAUGAUUCUAUGAUUUAUGGCCCCGUUGAUUUCACUGUCGACUGCCUUGAAGACUGGGAUUGUGAGCAGUGAUUCAUUCAUCCUCCAGUUCUUCCCAGUCCCGUGGGAGCUGUGAAAGCUUGUUUCAGUCCCGUUUCCUGAAGGCAAAAGUGGUGUUUGGGGCAGGUUGCUGGGCUGCGCUCUGCUGCUGGAGACUGAGUUGUUAUCUCCUGGGUGUAACCUUGGCAGUGUUAUCUGCCUGAAAAUCCUAAGGCUUCAGCUCCACAGUGCUGUGACUUCUGUGAGGAGGGCAGUGGAUGUGCAGCCAUCUGUGAGAAAGAUUCCCAGGGAAUAAAGGCCGGCAAUGCGCUGAGCAGAGCACUGCUCUUUCAGGUUUUGACACAGUAAACUUGUAAGAAACUUUGGUCUGCCUAUUGGGCAGAGAAAAUGCAGUAAAAAGGGCACCAGGUCUGGGAGGACAUUGAGCAGAACCAGAAAUGAUGCUGAGAGAGUUGGGGAUAGAGGCAGGAUGGUCGUUUUUGGCAGAUCUACACAAAGAGUCACUUGAGAGCAAGCUUGUAUUGAGGGGUUUUCUUCUGCUGUUACACUCACAGAAAAGCAAAGUCUGCAAAGUGUGGAAGCAGAAACCUGGAGUUUGUGUUUUCUGCUCCACUGUAUGCUCAAAACCUCUUCUGCAAACUCUAGAUUAUUAUCAGCAGUUUUAGAUUCCUGGCUUUGCUUUUUUUUUUCUGUGGGACAAAGUGAUUUACAAAACCACACAACUAAUGCUCAGUUCUCAAUGUCCAUACUGUACCCAAGAGCUUUUCCAUGCAUGUCUUGCUUAAAGCAUCACUGCUGCCUGUGGAUCUGCCUUCUGUCCCUUCACUUACCCAGGGAUGUUCAAAGCCAUGGCUCUGGGCUGGUGAGCCUCCUCCUCACCCUUCCUUGCUGUGGAAUUACCAAAGUGCCAGCCUGCUAGUGGUAAUGACCACCAAUGUAAUUUUAUUUUGUGCCAGUUCAUCACAAAGCUUACAGCAGAUAGGGAACUCGGGAUGCUGGCAAUGUCUUUUUUGCUUUUUCAGUCAAAAUAUUUGGCCUCUGUAAUAUUUUUAAUAACCAUGACAGAUCUAUUCGAGUAUGCUAAUGCACUGCAAACAAUCUGAUUGCUGCUCUCUGAGAGGAGUGGAGCAAGGCAUAGUAACAGGCUGCCUUUAAGGGGAGAACUUGCAAGUGUAGAUUCUAGGGGGAAAAUACCUCCACUCUGAGUCACAUCAAGGCACCUUUGGUGACUGAGUUACACCUUCAGCCAAGGGGUGGCCAGGGACAGUGCCACCUUUUAUGAAAUUUAAUGGCACAGAAGAAAAUGUCAUUGCAAAUGUUCCUUCCUUCUUUAAAGAGAAAAAAUACGGUCCUGGCUCCAGGAUGAGACGAGCCUUGUGUCUGCCUGCAGCUUGGCUGCAAGAGGGGGAGAAGGAAACAUGAAUGCUUUGGGUUUGCUGAUCGCAGCUCUCCUCCACGUCACAUAGCAGAGCAAGGGUUGGAUGUGAGAGCGUCUGUUUGGCCCCACUCACCUCUGAUGAAUCUAUUUGCUUUCUUAUUUCCUAGAAAAAUCACGGUAAGACUUAUAAAACCACUAAUUGUUUGUUUCUUCUCUUUUUUGGUGAUGUAAACACUCUCAUGCAGUGGAGAAAAGUCAUCCAAAAUUGCAGUUAUUAACAAUGCGUGGAAGGACUCCGAGGGACACGUUCCCCAAAUGCAUUAAGGGUCAGUUCUUGUUCACCAGCAGGUUGUAUGUAAAUCGAGUGUCAGGAUAGUUGAUCUGAGCUCUCAAAAACAAAGUCUGCCCCAAAGCACUCAUUGUUUAGAGUGUAACUAGAAGCUGGAAGAAGUGUGAUUUCUCAGUUUGCCAAGGGAAGCAACCUCUCCCGAUCCUGUACGGGGGCCAGGGUGGGAUGUUAUUACGUGGCUUCAUUCUCAAAAGCAGGAUUUUUAUCUGUUCCUUUUCCUGAGUUCAGUUUUCUCUUUCCAUUUUAUGUUCCCUAUUAUUUUACAAAGCAGUAUACUUGGCAUCUGCUGUUAGAUGGCAGAUAUUUGAAAGAAGCGUCACGGCUGUUCACUGCAUUGUGGCAUUUUAUUUGAAUGCUUGGUGGUUGUGGAUUGCAUUGUAGAUAUGUCACAUGAACUGACUUCUCAAGUUUUCCAGGACAAAAAUUAAAUUGCUAUGGCUUUCCAGAUAAGAGAAAAGAAGAAAACUUCAUAUUUUUUCCUUUCAGUUUCUUCUUGACCAUGGCUUUGCUUAAUGGUGCAGAUGCAGAACCUUGGUUUUUGACUCAAUCAUAGUAAAAGCGUGUUUCUCAUAAUGUUGUGUGAGCAGGAUUUGGUUCAAAACUGCUAUUCCUGAGACAAGCUCUCACUAAGUGCUGCAGGAUGUCCCAUUAUCAUUACCAGCCUUUUGUGGUGGGACUCAGCAUUAAAAAAACCUUCCCAUGUUUUGCUGCAAUAGAAUUACUCCAAGAAGUUUCUCUUCUGGGAAGAACUUUAUUUCCUCUGUGUCUGAAAGAGUAUUUAGAAUUCUGUGAAUCUGUUUAAUAACUCCAAAGUUAUUUAAGCAUUCCUGAAGCUUCAAUUGGAUGAAUUAACAAGAUAAUGUUAUCAAACUGUGAGGCUCUUGUGCUGAAGACGGGAGGAAUAUAAGAAGUAGAGACAGAGGAACAGGUGGGGAAAACAAAACACUGAAGGAAGCAGUGGAUAUUCUAGGGAGCCUCUUAAGUGAGCUUGAUUUCACCCAGCCUCUGUGCAGGGUGUGGAAUGCACAAGCAGAGAACGAAAGGAAGGUGAAGCUGGAGCAUGCAGUCAUUCAUAUAUGGAGCACCUGAGAGGGAAGUACUCCAGCAGCUUGGAGGCAUCACCAGGCUGGGCUGAUGGGAACCACUGGGAUGGUUCUAGAGACAAAGAGGUGCAGGUGCUGGGUGGUGUGAGCUCUUCCCUGAGUUCUUUCUCUUCAGACACUUUGGUUCUGUUAAAGAAAGAUAAAGAUAAAGCAAAUGAUUCGUUAUAGCUUUGGAGGAUGUAUGAAGUCCACAGAAAAGGCCCAAAGCCAGCACAGGACGGUGUGAUCUGUCUUACUCAUUCAAGUGAAAACAUGGUAAGUGUGCCCAGUUAUGGUAAAGGUUAACGUUGCUGGGAAUCUCAUGAUGCAGCAGUGUGAGGUGAGGCUGCAGCCUUCUUGUGUCACUGUGCUGCCCUGCUGUGAGGUGCUGAGAGGAUGCCAUGAUUCAGGCUUUGCCUAAACGGAUGUUCAUCUAUGAAGACAAAAAUGUGAGGUUGUACAAACAAAGCAUAACUUCCAGCGAGAAGCAUUCAGAACUUUUGUUUCACCUGUGUGCUUGUGCUCAAGCAAAGCCAUUUUCAAAGAAGAUUUUACUCAGUUCCUCCUUCCAAAGGAACCAUCCAGAGCCCAUUUUGUAGAUGGAAGAGAUGUGCUUUGCUGCAGGUAGGUCACAUCAGUUAGCAAACGGGUGACAGGUGCAGCAUGACUUCCCUUACCUCUGUGAGCCAGGGAAGGACAGCUGGCUGGGGGCAUGCACUGGCAUCACAACACAGUUUGAAGGACGGGAAAUCCUGUAGGUGUCACGAGAACCAAAAGCUCUUAAGAUCAAAUUUUUCAAAGCUAACAAAGCCACAAUGACUCUUCAUUGAAACUUUGGCCUUUGGCCAUUGAUGCUUUGGGAUGAUGUCAACUUUAACAUACAUUUACUCAGUAUCAGUUACUUCUGUGCACAGCAGUGCUGUCGUUUCCGUAGUGCCAGGAAGUGUGAUUGUGAUAUUUCAGUUAGUCACCCAUACUACCUGUACUUAUGUGGAAGAAUAUGAAUCUGCCUGGUUUUUUCCUAAUGCUGUGAGCAAUAUUUAUGAAGUUGUUCAUACUUCGAAACCGUGAGCUGGUGAACUCAGAGAUAUAAAAAUGCACAGCAUUGUAAUUUCUGUGGAAUGAAAAUGUGAAAUCAAGUGUUGAGUAAGAUGCUUUUAAAGGAAACAAUAUAUUUUCUGCACUAUAGUACAAGUUGUUUUCUUGCUGCACAGAAUAAUUUUUCAUUCACUUUUUGAAGGAAGUAAAGCAGAAAACUGUGUUUUACAGCCCCCCCUCCAGCCGCUCGCUUAAACAAAUGCUUCGGCAGAAUGCCUGGUCCUCAUUUUAUUCUUGACUGUUGGCUUCUGAAUUUUUUUCCUUCCCUCUCCAAGGUAUUCAGACAGAUAAAUUGCUGGUUUGCAACUCUGCCAAUUAGGUGUGCUUUUUUUGCUUUUUUUCUCUUUUUUUGCUGAAUGUCCUACUCGCUUCUUGCAACGUUUCUCACAAUGCCUCUUUCCUGGGAUCAUGAGACAGAGCAAAGUUUUGUGCUUUCAGGGGUAAAACUGAGUAUGUGGAAAGGACUCAAAAUUAUUGGAAUGUUACUGGUUUUAUUUUGGAAAGGCCUCAAUCCAGUAUGAAUACUUAACACAUGCUGUCAGCUACAGGUAUAGAAUAUUCCUUUCUUUACUAAACUACUGAAUGUAACCACAUCACACUUGUCUUUGCUGGGCUCUGUGAACAGUCUGUGCACACACACUGAAUUUUGGGAACACCUGGAGUGGAUAAAAUACCAAAUGAUGCUGUGCCACCUGCCAGAAGUGUUGCAGUUGGAAUAAGAAGUCAUGGAAACACUGGAGCUCUGGAACAAAAGGGAAGUGACCACCAGUCAGGAAAGUGAAGAAUUGAUAGCAGCGUGUCUUCUAGAAUAACAAUUGCUGGAUAGGAGUGUGUGAAGUGGGGCAAUACUUAUUGGGGUGUUAUCAGGAAAGAGCCCUUUCUCUGCAGAGCACUGUAUGUAGGUGAACAGAUCCCAGGUAGGAGGCUGCACAGUGGAAGAGGAGUUCCAAACAAGUCCCAGGGUCAGACAUUCAGUAAGGGAGUGAAUCCCAAAGCUCAGGAAACAAUGGUGCUGUGGAGCAAAGCUGUUUGCUUGGGAAGUUCUGCUCAGCUCUGGGCUGCAGUCUAAGGAGAGAAGGAAAAAACCCCAAACAUGUUACCCUUGUCUUGGAAAAUCUCCAGUAAAGUUCAAUUACUUCAGGGCAGAGGAAGUGCCUGAAGAGGAACUGCUGGGUGUGCAUAAACUCAUAAAAUACCCCCUCCUUGAUGGGGGAAGGGAAAGGAGUUUGAAAGGAGGUCUGCAUUUGGAAUAUAAGUUAACAAGGGAGAAAAGUAAAGACCUCAGUGUGGUAACCACGAGGAUUGACGCUGCAGUUAGAAAGAAGAGGUUCUUGCUGGUGGCUCUGUGCGUGUCACAGCCUGCUAGGCAAAUUGCUGGGUGGUGGUAAUAACAGACAUCAGCUUCAGAAUAUCUGCGGGUGAACUGUGUGCAUUACACUUUUAUGGGGCUAUGAGAGGCAGCCUGCAAGGCCUGCGAUGGAGUCAGCAGGAAGCAGUUGCUUUCUCCCAUCCUGUCUGUGUUUCCAAAGAGCGAAUGGUCGGGCCUUGGUGACAGCCCUGGUGCACGGUUAUUCUGCCCGUCUGCAGGCUCUAAGCUGUCGACCAGUCUCUAAUACAACAGCUUCUUUGUUUUGUUUUGUAUCUUGAGUUCUUCCCAGGUCAAAGAAUCCAGACAGUAAUGCUAAAAAAAGCUGAUGGAAAGUGCUGAAGGAAGCAGCACAUCGUGAGUUACAUGUUCUUACACACUCACUGCAGGCAUUUUUCUUACAUAUUACCUGAGUAGAUUUUGCUGUUGGAGAUACGGCUCGAUAUCCACUUCCCAUAGGAGAUAUCUAGAGCCUUAAAGUAAUUUGGGGAAAUAUGGAGAGCAGUGUUCCUUGAUGUUUUUACUCAGAAAGAAGAGCAAUAAAGGCGCAACAUGCGGUUCUGUGGUCUGACUCAGCUGACAGGGAGGAGGUGUUUGCUUUGGCAGAGUCGUUUUGUUGAACUCUGGGAAGUUUCUCAGGCCAAAAUCUUUGGUCUCCCAUAGACUUGUGGUUCAGAAAUGCUUCCUCAGCCUUUUUUCAGCUUUCUCUGAUGUAAAAGAGUUUACAGAAAUUAGACAUGACUUAAGGAGAUGGUACAUGGGUCCAACAAUUUCUGAGUGAGGCAGGAAGAGCACAGGACACAGGGAGCUUUGUAAUAACACAUUCCUUAAUGCACAGAGUGAUUUUAAAGUGUUUAUAUGCCUGUGUGUGACAGAUCUUUUAUAACAGGUUGCUAACACAAGCUUGGGGCAAAGCAGAAGAACUUUUUCCAGAGCAUGCCUAAUAGUCUAACGAUGGUGAAGUGAAUUCAGUCAUGGUGAAUACAGUCCCCGCUUUGUAAUUUGGUCAGUAUUUUUACUGAAGACAGUAAUAGCUUAGAAGAACCAAACUCUGAAAGCUAAUCGUUGGUUCACGUGAGUAUUUACUAUCCAGAGCGUUCAGCAAACUUGAUUGAUCUGAGCAAUGCAAAGAGGUGAGGCCACAAGUACAAGAAUUUUAUAGCAUCUAUAAAGUACUGUAUACAGUUUUUGCUCUAUUUUAUGCUGUUAAACUAAACAUUUGGUAUCAUAUGGCACUUUAAGCACUUUGAUUUAUGUUAAGACAGAAAUUGCAUCUGUAAUAAACAUUCUAAAGUAUGAGUUUAAGAGUAAUCUACUGCAUUUAUUUGUGGCAUAAACUCUCACCAGCAGUGCAUUUAAGAAUCGUCUUGGGCUGAGCUCACGCUGCACGUUACAGCCACACUGCACUUCAGCCUCAGCAAGGUCACAUCCAAGGUGAAGUCUGAAUGGGAAUAAAGGGGUGGCAUGGUAAUAUUAUGUAGCAGCAAACAGAAAAAUACUCGCCUUCUCCUGUUAAAUAUUCCAGAUACAGUAAUUUUUACUUUACUGUAAAGAAUCCUAUGUUUUACCAAGCAAGAUAGAGUACAAAUGCAUCUUGUUUGAUAUGAAAAUAAGCACUCGGGAAUGAAAAUAGCGUGAAAAACCAUCUGACAUAUUUGAGAAUAAAUGCCAUACAAUUGCUUGUGUUUCAGGUCUGUUCAAUUUCCCUCAAGGAUGAAUGAAAGCACAGAUAUCCACUGUUGUACUGGAACCUGCCAUGGCUGUGCACCAUGGGAAGAAUUCUCCUACCAUUACACUUACUAAUUUGAUAUUGAAUCAAUUAUACUUGGUGGAACCUGCUUAAGAAUAAUGAAGAAAAGGAAGGAUACUCAGUCCUGUAACGUUGCUGUUACAUAUUGACUGAACAGUGACACAUCACAAUUCUUAUGAUCUUGUAGAUAUCCUUGGCGAUACAAUUGAUCAAUAGUUACAGGAGACAUUUUCUGUUGGAUCCUGCAGUCAGAGUGCUGGUAU